AGAUGAUGAUAGUGAUGAUGAUGAUAAUGAUGAUGAUGAUGAUGAUGAUGAUGAUGAUCAUCAUCAUCAUCAUCAUCAUCAUCAUCAUCAUCGUGA
rnacentral:pre_miRNA from 1 species